rnacentral:rRNA from 1 species
AUGCAGUCGAGGGGCAGCGAGGGCGUAGCAAUACGCCUGUCGGCGACCGGCGCACUGGUGAGUAACACGUAUGCGACCUGCCCCCUACAGGGGUAUAACCCGUAGAAAUGCGGACUAAUCCCCCAUAGUCCUGGGUGCUGCAUGGCAUUCAGGGGAAAGGUCAGCCGGUAGGGGAUGGGCACGCGGCGCAUUAGCUAGUUGGCGGGGCAACGGCCCACCAAGGCGACGAUGCGUAGGGGUUCUGAGAGGAAGGUCCCCCACACUGGUACUGAGACACGGACCAGACUCCUACGGGAGGCAGCAGUGAGGAAUAUUGGUCAAUGGGCGCAGGCCUGAACCAGCCAAGUCGCGUGAGGGAAGACGGUCCUACGGAUUGUAAACCUCUUUUGUCGGGGAGUAACGUGCGGGACGGGUCCCGUAUUGAGAGUACCCGAAGAAAAAGCAUCGGCUAACUCCGUGCCAGCAGCCGCGGUAAUACGGAGGAUGCGAGCGUUAUCCGGAUUUAUUGGGUUUAAAGGGUGCGCAGGCGGCGCGCCAAGUCAGCGGUCAAAGUUCCGGGCUCAACCCGGUGUCGCCGUUGAAACUGGCGUGCUCGAGUGCGUGCGAGGAAGGCGGAAUGCGUUGUGUAGCGGUGAAAUGCAUAGAUAUGACGCAGAACUCCGAUUGCGAAGGCAGCUUUCCAGCGCGCUACUGACGCUGAGGCACGAAAGCGUGGGGAUCGAACAGGAUUAGAUACCCUGGUAGUCCACGCAGUAAACGAUGACUACUAGCUUUCCGGGGCGACUGGGCCCUGGGAGGCACAGCGAAAGCGUUAAGUAGUCCACCUGGGGAGUACGCC